rnacentral:rRNA from 1 species
CCCGGCACGGGUGGAGUAACACGUAUGCAAUCCACCUCGUAACAAGGGGGAGUAACCGGAGAAAUCCGGACUAAUACCCCAUAAUAUGGGCGCUCCGCAUGGAGAGCCCAUUAAAGAGAGCAAUUUUGGUUUACAGACGAGCAUGCGCUCCAUUAGCCAGUUGGCGGGGUAACGGCCCACCAAAGCGACGAUGGAUAGGGGUUCUGAGAGGAAGGUCCCCCACAUUGGAACUGAGACACGGUCCAA